UCUAAUAUGGCAGAUUAGUGCAAUGAAUUUAAGCUUCAUAUAUAAAAAUUAUUAUUUUUUGUUAGAA
rnacentral:tRNA from 1 species